rnacentral:rRNA from 1 species
CUCGAAUCUAAAAGAGCUAUAUAGAUAUAAUUUUUAUUGUAGAAUAAAUAUUGUUAAUAUCUAUAUGGAAGUGAAACGCUAUUCGAUUUUAGGUAUAUCUAGUUUUUUAAGAAAAAAAUUUAAUUUUAUUUUUAUUUUAUUAAAAAAUUAAAUUUUUAAUUUUUUAAUAAUAAAAUUUUAUAUUUUUAGGGAUGAGCUUGAAAAUAGAUUUAUAUAAUAAAUAAAGAUUUCUUAAUAAAUAGAAUUUUUAGUUUUUAUUUUAAUUAGUGUUUUUUAACUAUUUUGGAGUUUAAUAAAAUUUUUAUUUUAUUUAUAUGAUGUAUUAAAAUGUAAGUUUCAAUUUUAAUAAUUUAGUAAUAAUGAUAAAAUUAGUAUAAAAAAUAGUUUUAUUGAUUUUAUUAUUUUAGGUUAAAUAAAGGAAUUCGGCAAAGGAGUUUUUCACCUGUUUAUUAAAAACAUGGCUUUUUGUAAAAAAUUUAAAGUCUAACCUGCCCAAUGAUUAAUUUAAUGGCCGCGGUAUCUUAACCGUGCAAAGGUAGCAUAAUCAUUAGUUUUUUAAUUGAAAGCUUGUAUGAAGGGUUGAAUGAGAAAACAGCUGUCUCUAUUUAAAUUAAUUAGAAUUUUAUUUUUAAGUGAAAAAGCUUAAAUAUAUAUUGAAGACGAGAAGACCCUAUAGAGUUUAAUAUUAAAAUUGUUUUGAUCUUUUAGGAUUAAUUGAUCUUAAUUUAUUUAGUAUUUGAUUGGGGUGAUCGAAAAAUUAAAUAAACUUUUUCUUGUAUAAUCAUUAAUUUAUGAAUAUUUGAUCCUUAUAAAGAUUAAAAGAUAAAAUUACCUUAGGGAUAACAGCGUAAUUUUUUUUAAGAGUUCUAAUCGAAAAAAAAGGUUGCGACCUCGAUGUUGGAUUAAAAUGAAAUUUUGGUGUAGCAGCUAAAAGUUUGGGUCUGUUCGACCUUUAGAAUUUUACAUGAUCUGAGUUUAAACCGGUAUGAGCCAGGUUGGUUUCUAUCUCUAUAAAUUUAAAAUAUCUUAGUACGAAAGGACCAGGUAUU